rnacentral:tRNA from 1 species
GCGGACGUCGUACAAUGGCAGUACAUCAGCUUCCCAAGCUGAGAAUGCGGGUUCGAUUCCCGUCGUCCGCUCCA